rnacentral:rRNA from 1 species
UGCCAGCAGCCGCGGUAAUACGGAGAGGGCAAGCGUUGUUCGGAAUCACUGGGCAUAAAGCGCACGUAGGCGGAUUGGAUAGUCGGUUGUGAAAUCCCACGGCUCAACCGUGGAACUGCGUUUCAAACCACAAAACUUGAGGAAGACAGGGGUGAGCGGAACUGAUGGUGGAGCGGUGAAAUGCGUUGAUAUCAUCAGGAACACCGGUGGCGAAGGCGGCUCACUGGGUCUUUUCUGACGCUGAGGUACGAAAGCUAGGGUAGCGAACUGGAUUAGAUA